rnacentral:rRNA from 1 species
GAUGAACGCUGGCGGCGUGCCUAAUACAUGCAAGUCGAGCGAACAGACGAGGAGCUUGCUCCUCUGACGUUAGCGGCGGACGGGUGAGUAACACGUGGAUAACCUACCUAUAAGACUGGGAUAACUUCGGGAAACCGGAGCUAAUACCGGAUAAUAUAUUGAACCGCAUGGUUCAAUAGUGAAAGACGGUUUUGCUGUCACUUAUAGAUGGAUCCGCGCCGCAUUAGCUAGUUGGUAAGGUAACGGCUUACCAAGGCAACGAUGCGUAGCCGACCUGAGAGGGUGAUCGGCCACACUGGAACUGAGACACGGUCCAGACUCCUACGGGAGGCAGCAGUAGGGAAUCUCCCGCAAUGGGCGAAAGCCUGACGGAGCAACGCCGCGUGAGUGAUGAAGGUCUUCGGAUCGUAAAACUCUGUUAUUAGGGAAGAACAAAUGUGUAAGUAACUAUGCACGUCUUGACGGUACCUAAUCAGAAAGCACGGCUAACUACGUG